rnacentral:lncRNA from 1 species
GUUCUCCUUCAAGAGGUCCUUCACAUCCCUUGUAAGUUGGAUUCCUAGGUAUUUUAUUCUCUUUGAAGUGAUUGUAUACACAUAAACUUAUGGACACAUGAGUGAUAGUCAAAUUUCAAUCACUAAUGUGGCAUGAGCACUGACCCACCAGAAUGGCCAUGGUAAUUCACCAUGGAGCAGUAUUGCAUCAUCCUGAGUGAGAGUGAAGAAGAAUUGAGGUAGAGGGAAACUGAUAGAUGUGUUUGAGAUUUUAAAAUUAUUUCUCAAACUUUUACACCAAAAUAUAUCCUGGUACAUGUGCAACUUCUAUGGCUCUGUCAGACUCAUUUAAUAGGAAACUACCCACAGAAGAAAAUAAGGAAAACGAAUUCUGUAGGUAGAGAAAUGUAAUGACUAAGAUUUUAAAUGUUAUGACUAAGAUACAUGUUUAGUUGAUAAAAAUUAAUAAAAAUAAGAAACUUUCCUUCCUAGGGCAGCAUAAGAUCAUUUCAGAAUGAAGAUGCUUUGGGAUCUGACUUCGGACUGUAAGAAUGACAAACUCUGAAUGGGUGCAAAGGUAGCAGAUGACCUUCAAAGGAUGGUGAGAUUAAAUUUACCUACACCUAGAGAAAUAAUUGGAGCACAUGUCUAUUUGGGCCAAGAGGAUAAAGGCCAGUAGAGGAAUCAGAUCAAAGAACUUCCUCAGGGAAGUGUGCAGAGAACUGGAGUGGACCUUCCCCUAGGAAGCUGCCCAAAACGAGAGUGCUGGAAAGCUGGCCGCAGUGAGGCACUUCAGAUCCCAAGGGUAUGCUGGGGAAGCUGCCACAGGUGGGAGCACUUGCUGCUGGACCCUAGGCACUGUUGAAACAACUGCACCAUCUGCAGGAGCCCAGCAAGGCCAUUUGGUUCUGAAUACCACAUUCAAGAGGAGCAUUGUACACUGGAAUUUGCAAACCGAAACUGGAAGAUAGAAGUUUAUUUCUCUCUCCAGUCAUAAAGCUGUUGGAAAUUGAUACUGGGAGCUGCUAGUGACCAUCUUUCCAGUUCUAUGUGUGUUUGUGUUGAAAGAACUUGUUUGCAUCCCUGCUAGACAAAAACCUACAAGUUAACCUUUGCCCGUAUGGAGUUGUAAAACAGACCAGUUGAUAGAAAGAGAAGCCUGCUUCCCGAAGCCCUCAGCAGAAGCCGAGCAGAUGUUGGCACCAUGCUUCUUGUACAGCCUGCAGAACUUGAAGAAACACUCCAUAUUAGUUUUCUGGAGCCAUCGUUAUGAAGCAACACAGACUGGGUGGCAUAAACAAUGGAGAUUUAUUUUUUCACAAUUCCGGAGGCUAGAAGUUUGAGAUCAAGGUGUUGGAAAGUGUCUCAGGAUGAUACAUACCGGUUUUUAACUUUGGUGUCAUCAAAUGCAAUUGCAAUGUGACUGUUUCUUGAAAGCCCGAACUGCUUGCUCCCUAUCAAAAGAGCUGGUUCUGAUUCUGCAGCACAAGGACCCUGUAAAAUACCCAGGAGAGAAAAACAGGAGAUUAUGGACUGUUCUUUAAAAAG